rnacentral:rRNA from 1 species
GACGAACGCUGGCGGCGUGCUUAACACAUGCAAGUCGAACGGAAAGGCCUCUUUCGGGGGGUACUCGAGUGGCGAACGGGUGAGUAACACGUGAGUAACCUGCCCUUGACUUUGGGAUAACUUCAGGAAACUGGGGCUAAUACCGGAUAGGAGCUCCUGCUGCAUGGGGGGGGUUGGAAAGUUUCGGCGGUUGGGGGUGGACUCGCGGCUUAUCAGCUUGUUGGUGGGGUAGUGGCUUACCAAGGCUUUGGCGGGUAGCCGGCCUGAGAGGGGGACCGGCCACAUUGGGACUGAGGUACGGCACAGACUCCUACGGGAGGCAGCAGUGGGGAAUCUUGCACAAUGGGUGGAAGCCUGAUGCAGCAACGCCGUGUGCGGGAUGACGGCCUUCGGGUUGUAAACCGCUUUCGCUCAUGACGAAGCUUUGUGUGACGGUAGUGGGUAAAGAAGCACCGGCUAACUACGUG